rnacentral:rRNA from 1 species
GAUGAACGCUGGCGGCGUGCCUAAUACAUGCAAGUCGAGCGAACGGACGAGAAGCUUGCUUCUCUGAUGUUAGCGGCGGACGGGUGAGUAACACGUGGAUAACCUACCUAUAAGACUGGGAUAACUUCGGGAAACCGGAGCUAAUACCGGAUAAUAUUUUGAACCGCAUGGUUCAAAAGUGAAAGACGGUCUUGCUGUCACUUAUAGAUGGAUCCGCGCUGCAUUAGCUAGUUGGUAAGGUAACGGCUUACCAAGGCAACGAUGCAUAGCCGACCUGAGAGGGUGAUCGGCCACACUGGAACUGAGACACGGUCCAGACUCCUACGGGAGGCAGCAGUAGGGAAUCUUCCGCAAUGGGCGAAAGCCUGACGGAGCAACGCCGCGUGAGUGAUGAAGGUCUUCGGAUCGUAAAACUCUGUUAUUAGGGAAGAACAUAUGUGUAAGUAACUGUGCACAUCUUGACGGUACCUAAUCAGAAAGCCACGGCUAACUACGUGCCAGCAGCCGCGGUAAUACGUAGGUGGCAAGCGUUAUCCGGAAUUAUUGGGCGUAAAGCGCGCGUAGGCGGUUUUUUAAGUCUGAUGUGAAAGCCCACGGCUCAACCGUGGAGGGUCAUUGGAAACUGGAAAACUUGAGUGCAGAAGAGGAGAGGGGAAUUCCAUGUGUAGCGGUGAAAUGCGCAGAGAUAUGGAGGAACACCAGUGGGGAAGGCGACUUUCUGGUCUGUAACUGACGCUGAUGUGCGAAAGCGUGGGGAUCAAACAGGAUUAGAUACCCUGGUAGUCCACGCCGUAAACGAUGGAGUGCUAAGUGUUAGGGGGUUUCCGCCCCUUAGUGCUGCAGCUAACGCAUUAAGCACUCCGCCUGGGGAGUACGACCGCAAGGUUGAAACUCAAAGGAAUUGACGGGGACCCGCACAAGCGGUGGAGCAUGUGGUUUAAUUCGAAGCAACGCGAAGAACCUUACCAAAUCUUGACAUCCUUUGACAACUCUAGAGAUAGAGCCUUCCCCUUCGGGGGACAAAGUGACAGGUGGUGCAUGGUUGUCGUCAGCUCGUGUCGUGAGAUGUUGGGUUAAGUCCCGCAACGAGCGCAACCCUUAAGCUUAGUUGCCAUCAUUAAGUUGGGCACUCUAAGUUGACUGCCGGUGACAAACCGGAGGAAGGUGGGGAUGACGUCAAAUCAUCAUGCCCCUUAUGAUUUGGGCUACACACGUGCUACAAUGGACAAUACAAAGGGCAGCGAAACCGCGAGGUCAAGCAAAUCCCAUAAAGUUGUUCUCAGUUCGGAUUGUAGUCUGCAACUCGACUACAUGAAGCUGGAAUCGCUAGUAAUCGUAGAUCAGCAUGCUACGGUGAAUACGUUCCCGGGUCU